rnacentral:rRNA from 1 species
GGAUCAAUACGUCGGUCUUGCUUCGGUACGUGCUGGCGUCAUUGAUUUCUUCCUUCUGACGAACCAUGAUGUCAUUAAUUUGGUGUUAUGGGAAAUCAGGACUGUUACUUUGAAAAAUUAGAGUGUUUAAAGCAGGCUCACGCUUGAAUACAUUAGCAUGGAAUAAUGAAAUAGGACGUUCGAUCCUAUUUUGUUGGUUUCUAGGAUCGACGUAAUGAUUAA